CUGCUAUCGGAUGAUACUAAGCCAUGCGAGUCUUGUAGUAAUACAAGGCAGACGGCUCAGUAACACGUAGUCAACCUACCCUAUGGACAAGAAUAAUCUCGGGAAACUGGGCAUAAUUCUUGAUAGAUCAUAAUGCCUGGAAUGGUUUAUGGUUAAAAUGAUUCGUCGCCAUAGGAUGGGACUGCGGCCUAUCAGCUUGUUGGUGAGGUAAUGGCCCACCAAGGCGAUUACAGGUACGGGCUCUGAGAGGAGAAGCCCGGAGAUGGGUACUGAGACACGGACCCAGGCCCUAUGGGGCGCAGCAGGCGAGAAAACUUUGCAAUGUGCGAAAGCACGACAAGGUUAAUCCGAGUGAUUUCUGCUAAAGAAAUCUUUUGCCAGUCAUAAAACCACUGGUGAAUAAGGGGUGGGCAAGUUCUGGUGUCAGCCGCCGCGGUAAAACCAGCACCUCAAGUGGUCAGGAUGAUUAUUGGGCCUAAAGCAUCCGUAGCCGGCUUUGUUAGUUUUCGGUUAAAUCCAUGUGCUCAACACAUGGGCUGCCGAAAAUACUGCAUAGCUAGGGAGUGGGAGAGGUAGACGGUACUCAGUAGGAAGGGGUAAAAUCCUUUGAUCUAUUGAUGACCACCUGUGGCGAAGGCGGUCUACCAGAACACGUUCGACGGUGAGGGAUGAAAGCUGGGGGAGCAAACCGGAUUAGAUACCCGGGUAGUCCCAGCUGUAAACGAUGCAGACUCGAUGAUGCAUUGGCAUAAUAGCCAGUGCAGUGUCGCAGGGAAGCCGUUAAGUCUGCCGCCUGGGAAGUACGUACGCAAGUAUGAAACUUAAAGGAAUUGGCGGGGGAGCACCACAAGGGGUGAAGCCUGCGGUUCAAUUGGAUUCA
rnacentral:rRNA from 1 species